UACGUAGGGUGCAAGCGUUAAUCGGAAUUACUGGGCGUAAAGCGUGCGCAGGCGGAUGCAUAAGUCAGACGUGAAAGCCCUCGGCUUAACCGAGGAAGUGCGUCUGAAACUGCUGAGCUUGAGUCUCGGAGAGGAUGGCGGAAUUCCGCAAGUAGAGGUGAAAUUCGUAGAUAUGCGGAGGAACACCGGUGGCGAAGGCGGCCAUCUGGACGAGUACUGACGCGUGAGACGGCGAAAAGCGUGGGGAGCAAACAGGGAUUAAGAAACCCU
rnacentral:rRNA from 1 species